AGUGGGGGAUAACGUAGCGAAAGUUACGCUAAUACCGCAUAUGCCCUGAGGGGGAAAGGUGGGGAUCGCAAGACCUAUCGUUUUCGGAGUGGCCGAUAUCAGAUUAGCUAGUUGGUGGGGUAAAGGCCCACCAAGGCGACGAUCUGUAGCGGGUCUGAGAGGAUGAUCCGCCACACUGGGACUGAGACACGGCCCAGACUCCUACGGGAGGCAGCAGUGGGGAAUUUUGGACAAUGGGGGCAACCCUGAUCCAGCCAUGCCGCGUGAGUGAAGAAGGCCUUCGGGUUGUAAAGCUCUUUCAGCCGGAAAGAAAUCGCGCAGGCUAAUAUCCUGUGUGGAUGACGGUACCGGAAGAAGAAGCACCGGCUAACUACGUGCCAGCAGCCGCGGUAAUACGUAGGGUGCGAGCGUUAAUCGGAAUUACUGGGCGUAAAGCGUGCGCAGGCGGUUUUGUAAGACAGGCGUGAAAUCCCCGGGCUUAACCUGGGAACUGCGUUUGUGACUGCAAGGCUAGAGUGUGGCAGAGGGGGGUAGAAUUCCG
rnacentral:rRNA from 1 species